GGUGUGUUGGCUCAGUCUUUGGAGCGUCCGCCUCACAACCGGGAGGUCGUGGGUUCGAUCCCCGGCCGCGUCA
rfam:Strongylocentrotus purpuratus Contig2767_fixed, whole genome shotgun sequence.